AGUGAACGCUGGCGGUAGGCCUAACACAUGCAAGUCGAACGGCAGCACAGUAAGAGCUUGCUCUUACGGGUGGCGAGUGGCGGACGGGUGAGGAAUACAUCGGAAUCUACUUUUUCGUGGGGGAUAACGUAGGGAAACUUACGCUAAUACCGCAUACGACCUACGGGUGAAAGCAGGGGAUCUUCCGACCUUUCGCGAUUGAAUGAGCCGAUGUCGGAUUAGCUAGUUGGCGGGGUAAAGGCCCACCAAGGCGACGAUCCGUAGCUGGUCUGAGAGGAUGAUCAGCCACACUGGAACUGAGACACGGUCCAGACUCCUACGGGAGGCAGCAGUGGGGAAUAUUGGACAAUGGGCGCAAGCCUGAUCCAGCCAUACCGCGUGGGUGAAGAAGGCCUUCGGGUUGUAAAGCCCUUUUGUUGGGAAAGAAAAGCAGCAGGUUAAUACCCCGCUGUUCUGACGGUACCCAAAGAAUAAGCACCGGCUAACUUCGUG
rnacentral:rRNA from 1 species